UCAUGGCUCAGAUUGAACGCUGGCGGCAGGCCUAACACAUGCAAGUCGAACGGCAGCACAGAAGAGCUUGCUCUUUGGGUGGCGAGUGGCGGACGGGUGAGUAACACGUAGGAAUCUACCCAGUAGUGGGGGAUAACCUGGGGAAACCCAGGCUAAUACCGCAUACGCCCUGAGGGGGAAAGCGGGGGAUCUUCGGACCUCGCGCUAUUGGAUGAGCCUGCGUCGGAUUAGCUAGUUGGUGGGGUAAGGGCCCACCAAGGCGACGAUCCGUAGCUGGUCUGAGAGGAUGACCAGUCACACCGGAACUGAGACACGGUCCGGACUCCUACGGGAGGCAGCAGUGGGGAAUAUUGGACAAUGGGCGCAAGCCUGAUCCAGCCAUGCCGCGUGGGUGAAGAAGGCCUCGGUGU
rnacentral:rRNA from 1 species